GCUCCAAUGGCGCAAUGGUAGCGCGCAAGACUUCUACAAAACUACUCCUAGUAGUAACGUGAUCUUGAGGUUGAGGGUUCGAGCCCCUCUUGGAGUG
rnacentral:tRNA from 1 species